rnacentral:rRNA from 1 species
UGGCGGCAGGCCUAACACAUGCAAGUCGAGCGGUAGAGAGGUGCUUGCACCUCUUGAGAGCGGCGGACGGGUGAGUAAUGCCUAGGAAUCUGCCUGGUAGUGGGGGAUAACGCUCGGAAACGGACGCUAAUACCGCAUACGUCCUACGGGAGAAAGCAGGGGACCUUCGGGCCUUGCGCUAUCAGAUGAGCCUAGGUCGGAUUAGCUAGUUGGUGAGGUAAUGGCUCACCAAGGCGACGAUCCGUAACUGGUCUGAGAGGAUGAUCAGUCACACUGGAACUGAGACACGGUCCAGACUCCUACGGGAGGCAGCAGUGGGGAAUAUUGGACAAUGGGCGAAAGCCUGAUCCAGCCAUGCCGCGUGUGUGAAGAAGGUCUUCGGAUUGUAAAGCACUUUAAGUUGGGAGGAAGGGCAGUUACCUAAUACGUAAUUGUUUUGACGUUACCGACAGAAUAAGCACCGGCUAACUCUGUGCCAGCAGCCGCGGUAAUACAGAGGGUGCAAGCGUUAAUCGGAAUUACUGGGCGUAAAGCGCGCGCAGGUGGUUCGUUAAGUUGGAUGUGAAAGCCCCGGGCUCAACCUGGGAACUGCAUUCAAAACUGUCGAGCUAGAGUAUGGUAGAGGGUGGUGGAAU